GCUAAAACAUGCAUUUGGUAAAUGUUUUACAGAUUCAAAUCCGCCAGAUUACUUAAAUGCAAUUAUAUUCAAAAAAGACGGAUCAUGCGAGUCUGAACUAACUGUUAAUAUUCACAUUAGUCCAAGUUUUGAUAAAGAAAAUCUGGAAAAGUUUUGGGUCCUUGACGAGACAUAUGAGACCACAAAACGGUCCAAUUCAAAAAUUCUAUCUCCGUACUUGAUUGCUGUUAGUCGAGGCGUGCCGAUUAGCAUGUAUCCACUUCAAUUUGUAAAAGUAAGAACUAGGUAAUAAAUAAAAGAUAUUCAUAAAAUAAUAACAUGGUUUUAGACAGUUAAGGACACGGAAAUGAACUAUGAUGACUCACCCUAUAACUCAAAACUACCCCUAAUCUUCAACGGAGUUGAAAGACAAAACAUUUCACAAUGUGAGUAUCUUAUGCAAAUUAGCAAUGUUCAUCACUUUGAAAACAUAAACCAGAUUUUAUUUAUGCACAAAGUAGACCCACAUAGUUUAGUUUAGGAACAGUAUUCCUGUAUUUUUGGCAAAUGUAGUACCUGGAACGUUGGGCACUUGUUGAAAGAUGGCUUUAACGUCGUAGAUCAACUAUUUAUUUAUGGCUUGACAUUAAAUCGUUAAACUAUUGUUCAUAAUGUAUUCAAAUAUAUUAAAUAUUAUUUUUGUACAGCUAACAUUUAUAUUUUUGAAGAUUCAAUUAACAAAGAAAAUCAU
rnacentral:lncRNA from 1 species